CCGCCGGCGAAGGGUGGCGUCUCCGGAUGCAGAGGAGCAAGACGGGGGAGUGAAUUGGUGCUGGAGGAGGAGGAGAGGGGAGGAAAGGGUGUCGGCGGAGGCGGCGGAGGAGGAGGAGGAGGAUGAGGUGGUGGUGUCGGAGAGGGAGAUCUGGAGGGCCAUGGCGACGGCCGCGUUCUCGCGGGCAGAGACCUCGCUGAUCCACGCCGAUUCCGAGUGGUACACCCACGGAUCGAGCACCGAGCAG
rnacentral:lncRNA from 1 species